GGAUUGUGGCUCAGCGGUAGAGUGCUUGCCUAGUAUGCGCAGGGUCCUGGGUUUGAUCCUCAGCACCA
rnacentral:tRNA from 1 species